AUAUAAUAUCAGUUUAAGGUAGAGAUACAAUAUCAGUUUAAGGUAGAGAUAUAAUAUCAGUUUAAGGUAGAGAUAUAAUAUCAGUUUAAGGUAGAGAUAUAAUAUCAGUUUAAGGUAGAGAUAUAAUAUCAGUUUAAGGUAGAGAUAUCUGUUUGUUUGCAUUGGAUGCGUCUCAAUUCACCACAUCUGACAGCGUCUCAUUUCCAAGUCUGCGGUGAAAGGUGACAGAGCGGUGUGUGUCAAGACCAUGAGACAUCCCGAAAAUCGGUCUUCUCACGAUAAUGUCUAAUGUCCGAGACUCACGAAGAGGAUGGUGUUCUCUCCGUUUUGCUCUGUGACCCCCAUAAGUGCCACAGGACUCAUCUGAAGGCGACGGGACUCGUCUGAAGGUAACACGACUCGUCUGAAGGUAACACGACUCGUCUGAAGGUAACAGGACUCAUCUGAAGGUGAUGGGACUCAUCUGAAG
ensembl:lncRNA